rnacentral:rRNA from 1 species
UGGGGAAUAUUGCACAAUGGGCGCAAGCCUGAUGCAGCCAUGCCGCGUGUGUGAAGAAGGCCUUCGGGUUGUAAAGCACUUUCAGCGGGGAGGAAGGCGUUAAGGUUAAUAACCUUGGCGAUUGACGUUACCCGCAGAAGAAGCACCGGCUAACUCCGUGCCAGCAGCCGCGGUAAUACGGAGGGUGCAAGCGUUAAUCGGAAUUACUGGGCGUAAAGCGCACGCAGGCGGUCUGUCAAGUCGGAUGUGAAAUCCCCGGGCUCAACCUGGGAACUGCAUUCGAAACUGGCAGGCGAGAGUCUUGUAGAGGGGGGUAGAAUUCCAGGUGUAGCGGUGAAAUGCGUAUAGAUCUGGAGGGAUACCGGUGGCGAAGGCGGCCCCCUGGACAAAGACUGACGCUCAGGUGCGAAAGCGUGUGGAGCAAACAGG